rnacentral:rRNA from 1 species
AAACUGAAGAGUUUGAUCAUGGCUCAGAUUGAACGCUGGCGGCAGGCCUAACACAUGCAAGUCGAGCGGAAACGAUGGGAGCUUGCUCCCAGGCGUCGAGCGGCGGACGGGUGAGUAAUGCAUAGGAAUCUGCCCGGUAGUGGGGGAUAACCUGGGGAAACCCAGGCUAAUACCGCAUACGUCCUACGGGAGAAAGCAGGGGCUCUUCGGACCUUGCGCUAUCGGAUGAGCCUAUGUCGGAUUAGCUGGUUGGUGAGGUAAUGGCUCACCAAGGCGACGAUCCGUAGCUGGUCUGAGAGGAUGAUCAGCCACAUCGGGACUGAGACACGGCCCGAACUCCUACGGGAGGCAGCAGUGGGGAAUAUUGGACAAUGGGCGCAAGCCUGAUCCAGCCAUGCCGCGUGUGUGAAGAAGGCCCUCGGGUUGUAAAGCACUUUCAGUGGGGAAGAAAGCCUUCCGG